AUGGCUGGAGAAGGAGAUGUGCCUGACAAUGAAACAGAGGGUUCUGCCAAUCCGAUCUCACGAUGGCACUCAAAAAGGGCUGCUAAGCGGCAGCCGCAUGGCGAUGAUAAGGACGGGGAUGGAGAGGAUGACGAUGGUGGCGAAAGAUUCCUCUUAGUAAAACUGCAGAGAAGAAAGGUGCGCAUGAAGGCAGUAUCCAAAGGGGUAGAUGCCACAUCUUCUGCAGCAGCCGCUGAGGGGGGUGAGGGUAAUGAAGAAGAUAAUGCAGAACGACAGUCACAAGCUGGUAGAAUAAGGGCAUCUCCUGGGAGGUUGGUGAAGUUGAACAAUAAGUUGAGCCCAUUACAAAAGUCCCCCCCUCUGCCACAAGCUGUUUGGAGGCCUGGAUUCAUGUUUUAG
rnacentral:rRNA from 1 species